AUGAAAAUGCCCAAAGAGCUCAAUGUAUUGAUUGGUUUGGCUGGGGACAGCCAGAGAAAGAAGCCCAAGCAGUCACCGCCUGCUUCGCCCUGAGCCUCCUGACUUAGACUCUGAGUCCAGCUCCAAGGAGGAAGAGGAAUUCGGUGUGGUUGGAAAUCGCUCUCGCUUUGCCAAGGGAGGCUAUUGACGAUGCUGCAAGAUCUGCUAUCCGCUCUGUGGUUUUGUCACCCUCUCUGCCUGUGUUGUGGCCUGUGUUGGCUUGGUGUGGAUGCAGGUUGCUCUCAAGGAGGAUCUGGAUGCCCUCAAGGAAAAAUUUCGAACAAUGGAAUCUAAUCAGAAAAGCUCAUUCCAGGAAAUCCCCAAACUUAAUGAAGAACUAUUCAGCAAGCAAAAAAAACUUGAGAAGAUUGAAUCUGGAGAGAUGAGUUUGAACAAAGUCUGGAUAAACAUCACGGAAAUGAAU
rnacentral:lncRNA from 1 species